rnacentral:rRNA from 1 species
GUCUACGACCAUGCCACCCUAAACACGCCCGAUCCCAUCUGAUCCUGGAAGCUAACCAAGGUUGAGCCUGGUUAGUAUUUAGAUGGGAAAUCACCUAGGAAGACCAGGUCCUGUAGGCA